UGCCAGCCGCCGCGGUAACACGGGGGGCGCAAGCGUUAUUCGGAAUCAUUGGGCGUAAAGCGGGUGUAGGCGGCUUUGCAAGUCGGAUGUGAAAGCCCUGGGCCCAACCCAGGAAUUGCACUCGAUACUGCAUCGCUAGAGUCCCGGAGAGGAUGGCGGAAUUCCAGGUGUAGGGGUGAAAUCCGUAGAUAUCUGGAGGAACACCAGUGGCGAAGGCGGCCAUCUGGACGGUGACUGACGCUCAGACCCGAAAGCGUGGGGAGCAAACAGGAUUAGAUA
rnacentral:rRNA from 1 species